GUUUCCGUAGGUGAACCUGCGGAAGGAUCAUUACCACACC
rnacentral:rRNA from 1 species